rnacentral:rRNA from 1 species
AUGUACCCUGCACCGCCCCCACUUCUUAUGGAUGAAAACCUAAAGAUCAUUUUUUGGAACGUCAGAGGCCUAAACUCUCGUGCUAAACGUACUGCAGUCCAUAGCGUUAUUUCCUCGACUGCCCCUUGCAUCGUCUGUCUCCAGGAAACGAAGCUUGCUAACAUCUCUGACUCCCUGGUGUUGGAAACCCUGGGCGCCCCCUUCCUCGACUUCUUUUUCCUCCCCGCUGAUGGCACUCGCGGCAGCUUCUUGCUUGCUUGGUGCUGCAACAUGAUCUCGCUAUCGAGGCCAACCAUUGGUGACCAUCACGUCUCGGCCCUUGUCUCCCCCCUUGUCGAGGAUCAGCAUUGGUGGUUGACUGGUGUCUACGGCCCGUAG